rnacentral:rRNA from 1 species
AACGCGAAGAACCUUACCUGGGUUUGACAUCCCUCGACAACUGCAGAGAUGCAGCUUUAGUAGCAAUACUACGGGGAGACAGGUGCUGCAUGGCUGUCGUCAGCUCGUGUGGUGACAUGUUGGGUUAAGUCCCGCAACGAGCGCAACCCUUGUCCUUAGUUGCCAGCAUUCAGUUGGGCUCUCUAAGGAGACUGCCGUGGUGAACACGGAGGAAGGUGGGGAUGACGUCAAGUCCUCAUGGCCUUUAUAUCCAGGGCGACACACGUGAUACAAUGGACGGUACAGAGGGAAGCCAAAGCGCGAGCUGGAGCCAAUCUCAAAAAGCCGUUCUCAGUUCGGAUUGGAGUCUGCAACUCGACUCCAUGAAGUUGGAAUCGCUAGUAAUCGCGGAUCAGAACGCCGCGGUGAAUACGUUCCCGGGCUUGUACACACCGAGUAUA